rnacentral:tRNA from 2 species
CAAGAAGUAGCUUAAACCAAAGCAUUCGUUUUACACACGAAAAAUGUUAAAUAUUAACCUUUUUGA